rnacentral:rRNA from 1 species
UGCGUAGGCGGAAUGGCAAGUCGGAGGUGAAAGCCCCCAGCUUAACUGGGGAAGUGCCCUCGAUACUGCUGUUCUCGAGAGAGGUAGGGCGUGUGGAACUUCCGGUGGAGCGGUGAAAUGCGUAGAUAUCGGAAGGAACGCCGGUGGCGAAAGCGAUGCGCUGGACCUUUUCUGACGCUGAGGCACGAAAGCUAGGGGAGCGAACG